UAGCCCACACCUUCCAAGUGAUCCCGGGAACUCCGGACCCCUAUCGCCUUAAAUUUUUCCGGACUAUCAAAUACGACCUAAGGAACCAUAGUCACCACCCAGGUGUGAUCAUUCCUCAUUUGUUGCGUUUUUCACCCAAAAAACUAGAAUUCCGCCCGAUUACAAUAUUUUUGUAUGCUAUUGCCCACCCUUUCAAGUGGUUCCGGGACCCUCGGACCCCGAUCGCCUAAAAUUUUUUCGGGCCGUCAAAUAGUACCUAAGGAACCAUAGUAACCGCCCCGCCAACAUCGUUUCUUAUUUUUGCAUUUUUCGGCCAAAAAACUAGAAUUACGCCCGAUUCCCAUAUUUUCGUGUGUUAUACCCACGCCUUCCAAGUGGUCCGGGGAGCCGCGGACCCCGAUCGCCUAAAAUGUUUCCGGACUAUCAAAUAUGAUCUAAGGUACCAUAGUCACCGCCCCACCAUGAUCGUUCCAAAUGCUUUGUAUUUUUUGGCCAAAAAACUAGAACUCCGCGCGAUUUGCAUAUUUUCGUGAGCUAUAGCUUACGCCUUCCGA
rnacentral:lncRNA from 1 species